GUGCUCACUUCAACAGCACACAUAUUAUAAUUUGAACUAUACAGAGAAGAUUAGCAUGGCCCCUGUACAAGGCUGACAUGCAAAUUCAUGAAGCAUUCCAUAUUUUU
rnacentral:snRNA from 1 species